GAUGAACGCUAGCGGCAAGCUUAACACAUGCAAGUCGAGGGGUAUAGUUCUUCGGAGCUAGAGACCGGCGCACGGGUGCGUAACGCGUAUGCAAUCUACCUUUUGCAGAGGGAUAGCCCAGAGAAAUUUGGAUUAAUACCUCAUAGUAUGUGAGAAUGGCAUCAUUUUCACAUUAAAGUCACAACGGCAAAAGAUGAGCAUGCGUCCCAUUAGCUUGUUGGUAAGGUAACGGCUUACCAAGGCAACGAUGGGUAGGGGUCCUGAGAGGGAGAUCCCCCACACGGGUACUGAGACACAGACCAGACUCCUACGGGAGGCAGCAGUGAGGAAUAUUGGACGAUGGGCGCAAGCCUGAUCCAGCCAUGCCGCGUGCAAGAUGACGGUCCUAUGGAUUGUAAACUGCUUUUGUACAGGAAGAAACACUGGUUCGUGAACCAGCUUGACGGUACUGUAAGAAUAAGGAUCGGCUAACUCCGUGCCAGCAGCCGCGGUAAAAC
rnacentral:rRNA from 1 species